rnacentral:rRNA from 1 species
CCCCUACGGGGGGCAGCAGUGGGGAAUAUUGCACAAUGGGCGAAAGCCUGAUGCAGCAACGCCGCGUGAAGGAAGAAGUAUUUCGGUAUGUAAAGCUCUAUCAGCAGGGAAGAUAAUGACGGUACCUGACUAAGAAGCCCCGGCUAACUACGUGCCAGCAGCCGCGGUAAUACGUAGGGGGCAAGCGUUAUCCGGAUUUACUGGGUGUAACGGGAGCGUAGGUGGCAGGGCAAGUCAGAUGUGAAAACCCGGGGCUCAACUCCGGGAGUGCAUUUGAAACUGUCCAGCUAGAGUGCAGGAGAGGU